rnacentral:rRNA from 1 species
GUCUUUUUGAUUGUUUAUUUAAAGUCAGGCCUGCCCAAUGAUUUUUAUUUAAUGGCUGCGGUAUUUUAACUGCACGAAGGUAGCAUAAUCGUUUGUUUAAUAAUUUUAGACUAGUAUGAAUGGUUUAUUUAAGAAUCAAACUUUCUUGUUUUUAAAAGUAAAAAUUUAUUUUUUUAGUUAAAAAACUGAAAUUUUUUUAUGGGACGAGAAGACCCUAUAGAACUUUAUAUAAAUUUAUUUAAAUUUAAAUAAAUUUAUAUUAAAUUGGGGUGAUUAUAAUUUUUUUUUAACAAUUAUUUUUCUGUCAUUGAUUUUUGAUUUUUUGAUCCAAUUUUUUUGAUUAUAAGAUUAAGUUACCUUAGGGAUAACAGCGUAAUUUAAUUGAAGAGUUCUUAUCGAUAAUUUAAGUUUGCGA